GACAGAGGUGCCGAGCGUUAGGCGGAAUCACUGGGCUUAAAGCGUGUGUAGGCGGAUUCCUAAGUACCUUGUGAAAUCCCAUGGCUCAACCAUGGAACUGCUUGGUAUACUGGGUGUCUUGAGCCAACUAGGGGCUACCGGAACAAAUGGUGGAACGGGUGAAAAUGCGUAGAUAUCAUUUGGAACGCCAAUGGUGAAAAACAGGGUAGCUGGGGGUUGUGCUGACGCUGGAGACACGGAAAAGCCAGGGGGAGCGAAACGGG
rnacentral:rRNA from 1 species